CCUACGGGUGGCAGCAGUGAGGAAUAUUGGUCAAUGGUCGGGAGACUGAACCAGCCAAGCCGCGUGAGGGAUGAAGGUACAGAGUAUCGUAAACCUCUUUUGUCAGGGAACAAAGGCGGGGACGUGUCCCCGGAUGAGUGUACCUGAAGAAAAAGCAUCGGCUAACUCCGUGCCAGCAGCCGCGGUACUACGGAGGAUGCGAGCGUUAUCCGGAUUUAUUGGGUUUAAAGGGUGCGCAGGCGGUCUGUUAAGUCAUCGGUAAAAGCCCGGGGCCCAACCCCGGCCCGCCGUUGAAACUGGCAGUCUCGAGUUGGAGAGAAGUAUGCGGAAUGCGCGGUGUAGCGGUGAAAUGCAUAGAUAUCGCGCAGAACUCCGAUUGCGAAGGCAGCAUGCCGGCUCCACACUGACGCUGAGGCACGAAAGCGUGGGUAUCGAACAGGAUUAGAUACCCCUGUAGUC
rnacentral:rRNA from 1 species